rnacentral:rRNA from 1 species
UACGGAGGGUGCGAGCGUUGUUCGGAAUCACUGGGCGUAAAGCGCGUGUAGGCGGCCUGCUAAGUCUGAUGUGAAAGCCCGGGGCUCACCCCCGGAAGUGCAUUGGAAACUAGCGGGCUGGAGUCCCGGAGAGGAGGGUGGAAUUCCUGGUGUAGCGGUGGAAUGCGUAGAGAUCGGGAAGAACAUCAGUGGCGAAGGCGGUCUGCUGGGCCGUUGCUGACGCUGAGGCGCGACAGCGUGGGGAGCAAACAGG